rnacentral:ribozyme from 21 species
GGUUCUCGUUCUUCUUCUUCUUCUUCUUUUUUUUUCUUUUUUUUUUCUUCUUCUUG